ACCAAAAAAAACUCGUAGUAAAAUAAAAAUAAAACGGGAGCCCGGAGCGGCAACAAGCCAAUAUACACAACGCCUCUCGCCGACCUCCCCCACCCUCAGAUGCCGGCCACGGCGAGCGGCGGCGCGCGGGCGGAGGAGGCAGCGUCCGCGCCUUCGGUGUCUUCCUCCGCGCCUUUCUGCAUGGGUACGCGGCCGGAGGAGCUCGCGGCCAGGCUGGUGGCCGGGGGCCCCGGCGGCGUCGGCGGACCAGGAGGAGGACGCGGAGAGGGAGGGGAGGGGGAGCACGAGCGGGUGCUCGCGCUGCGCGAGAUCAAGAACCAGAUCAUCGGGAACCGGACCAAGAAGCUCCUCUACCUCCGCCUGGGCGCCGUGCCGGCGGUCGUCGCGGCGCUGGCCAAGCCCGGCGCGUCUCCGGCCGCGCUCGUCCAGGCGGCGGCCGCGGCGGGGAGCUUCGCUUGCGGAGUAGACGAUGGCGCGCGGGCCGUGCUUGCUGCUGGCGCCGUGGGGCACCUUACGCGGCUCCUCGCCCACCCCGACGACAAGGUUGUCGAUGCAUGUGCCCGUGCUCUCAGAAUGAUAUAUCAAUCAAAACAAGCUCCAAGAUUUGAUGUCAAUAAUGAGAAAAAUAUGGACUUUCUUCUUUCCCUUUUGGACAGCGAGAACGAAAAUGUUACUGAGCUGGCUGCUAAUAUUAUAUCAUACUCUUGCAAUAGCAAUACAGAACAAUUAGCACUAUGUGGUGCUGGAGUUCCACAGAAACUUGUUAGUCUUUUUGGAGGUUCUAUGAAUCUACGGGAUGCUUGUUUAGAAUCUAUGACUGCAGUCAUAAGAAAUAACUGGGAAGUUGCUUCAAGGUUUGCAUCAAUGGAUCACGGAAAAGCUUUCCGUUCAAUAGUUGCGUUAAUACACGAUCGGAGCCCACGCACAAGGCUACUUGCUUGUCUGUGCUUGAUUGCACUUGGUCAUGCUUCUCCCUGUCAUUUUCCGGAUAGACAAAAUAAAACGAAGUUGAUUCUGGUCUUACUUGAGCUCAUUGAAGAACCUGGUCAUGUGGGAGAUGAGGCUCCCUUGGCACUAACUACCCUUAUAAAGGACAGUGUGGAACUGCAGAAACAAGCCUUUUCAACAAAUGCAGUUGCGAAGCUUAGCAAUCAUUUGUUAGCAAAUACAUUGGAGACAAGGCGGGCAGUGACCAUAUUGCUUGCUUUAGCUGAACUUUGCUCAAAACAAGAAGAGUCAAGAUCUCAACUUAUGUCAGGCCAGGUAUCAACAUUGAUACUUGAUGCGUUGAAGCACGAUUGUGUGGAUAUUCGUGUUGCAGCAUGUUCAUGCUUGAAGAAUAUUUCUAGGUCAUCGAAGGUAAGGAUCAUGCUUCUUUACAUCUCAACCUUUUAUGUUCACCCAAAUGACUCAAUUAAUCUGGUUAAUUUGCAGGUGCUUAGUGCAGGCCGCUUAUCCUGUGAUACAGUUAUUGCCCCCUUAGUCCAGCUUUUGUACGACUCAUCUACUUCAGUUCAGAUUGCUGCCCUGGGUGCUAUUUGCAACAUUGCAGUGAAUUUAACACCCAGGAAAUCGGUUCUUCUUCAUUCUGGGGUCGUCUCCCAACUUGUUCAUUUAUCCAAGUCGAUGGAUCCAACAUUGAGACUAAAAUCUGUGUUGGCUCUGAGGAAUAUUAUGUUCCUUAUGAAUCCCAAGGAUAAAGACCUCAUUCUGAAGGAGCUAACCACAUCUACUCUCUCAAGCCUCAUAUGCGAUUCUGAACAUUCUGUUCAGGAACAGACCUUGGCGCUGGUACAGAAUCUUCUUGAUGGAUAUGUGGACUCUGUUAACUACGUCAUUGGUGAAGAUGGCAUGGUUAUAAAUGCAAUCUCAAGACAACUGAACAGUGCGUCUGCCACAGGAGUUUGCAUCCAGGGUAUGUUGGUGCUUGCAAAUAUGGCAGCUGGGAAUGAAUUAAACAAGGAAGCUGUAAUGGAUGUUACUGUUCCUCACCGGGCAGAUCGCAUCAAACCAUCUUUUGUGGUCAACUUUCUGCAGAGCAAGGAUAAACAAUUGAGAGUUGCAACCUUGUGGUGCAUUCUGAACUUAAUUUGCCCAAACAGUGAUUCUUCAUCUACUCGAGUAGCCCAACUCCAAAAUGCUGGUGUAAUUUCACAAGUAAAAAACAUGAUAAAUGACCCCUGCUUGGAUUGCAAGGAUGCAUAUUAUAUUUUUGAUGACAAAAUGCUUCGUCGAAAGCUACUCCUGCAAUCUUAGCUGAGCGGAUUUAGCUAUAAGAAUCUCAAAAGAACCAACAAAAUGCACCCCCCCCACCCCCCUCCCCCCCCAAAAAAAAACGCUACACACACGGUUGGUAGAUGCUUAGAGUACGUAUGGUGCUUGAACACUGCUUAGACAAUGCCGCUGCCGGUUUCAUGUGAUGGGUCCGCAAGCCAUUGACGUUUACGGAACACCAUGCACCAUACAGCAAUCGGGCAAAGGAAAUCUGGGCGUGCUUGGCACCGAGAUGCACGCCAUGGGCGCGAAGUCCUUACUGGUCUCUCCCUGUAUUGAGCCUAUCACUGUAAUUUUUUCUCACGAGAACCCGAUGACAACUGGUUUCUGUUGCUGAAAGGCUGGCACGCCCUUGUUGUAAGUUUGUAAGCAUGCCAGUUGGAGAACCUGAGUUUGUGAGUAUGCCACCUUGAGAACCUGAGCUGUUUGCUUGCGACCUGAAGGCCAUAGGCACCAGGUCCAGAGAAUCCCAUUUUGUAGUGCCACAAGAACCUUUGGGUUGUGCUGUGACGAAGAGUGUAUAAUCGAUCCACCGCUGUUGCUGUUGUAAAUUGCAGUUAUCCCUUACAAUGAUCGGUCUGUUUUAUC